rnacentral:rRNA from 1 species
UAAUACGGAGGGUGCGAGCGUUAAUCGGAAUUACUGGGCGUAAAGCGUACGCAGGCGGUUUGUUAAGCGAGAUGUGAAAGCCCCGGGCUCAACCUGGGAACUGCAUUUCGAACUGGCAAACUAGAGUGUGAUAGAGGGUGGUAGAAUUUCAGGUGUAGCGGUGAAAUGCGUAGAGAUCUGAAGGAAUACCGAUGGCGAAGGCAGCCACCUGGGUCAACACUGACGCUCAUGUACGAAAGCGUGGGGAGCAAACAGGAUUAGAUACCCUGGUAGUCCACGCCGUAAACGAUGUCUACUAGAAGCUCGGUUCCUCGGAACUGUUUUUCAAAGCUAACGCAUUAAGUAGACCGCCUGGGGAGUACGGCCGCAAGGUUA